CUGACUACCCAGAAGGGAGUUUUGUUGUGUUGCUUUUUCAUUUGCUCCCUUUCCCACAUCAUAACAUGGGCACAUCAUCCCUCUCUCCUGGAACACACCAAACCCAGCCCUCUUCCAGCUCCUUGCAGGAUUUCUCCAAAUUUUGGAUUCUUCCUUCUCCUCUGCUCAAUGCCAUCUUUCUAUCAUUUUUCUCCAGCUCCUGAAUCCCAGGCCAUGAGCUUCCACCUUUGAGGAGAGAAAAGGAGCAUUUGCCUGAAGUCCUGGUCCUAAUCUCCUAAAGGUAUUGUGCACAUUGAAUAAUAGGAAGCUCUUGACAAAAGAGAAAGACAAGAGAGGUGACAAAUAUGGCCUGCAAAACAGG